rnacentral:hammerhead_ribozyme from 1 species
AUCUAGAUGAUGAGUCCCAAGAAGGACGAAAUGCGCAUACUGGAU